AGAGUUUGAUCCUGGCUCAGGAUGAACGCUGGCGGCGUGCCUAACACAUGCAAGUCGAGCGAUUCUCUUCGGAGAAGAGCGGCGGACGGGUGAGUAACGCGUGGGUAACCUGCCCUGCACACACGGAUAACAUACCGAAAGGUAUGCUAAUACGAGAUAAUAUGCUUUUAUCGCAUGGUAGAAGUAUCAAAGCUCCGGCGGUACAGGAUGGACCCGCGUCUGAUUAGCUAGUUGGUAAGGUAACGGCUUACCAAGGCGACGAUCAGUAGCCGACCUGAGAGGGUGAUCGGCCACAUUGGAACUGAGACACGGUCCAAACUCCUACGGGAGGCAGCAGUGGGGAAUAUUGCACAAUGGGCGAAAGCCUGAUGCAGCAACGCCGCGUGAGCGAUGAAGGCCUUCGGGUCGUAAAGCUCCGUCCUCAAGGAAGAUAAUGACGGUACUUGAGGAGGAAGCCCCGGCUAACUACGUGCCAGCAGCCGCGGUAAUACGUAGGGGGCUAGCGUUAUCCGGAAUUACUGGGCGUAAAGGGUGCGUAGGUGGUUUCUUAAGUCAGAGGUGAAAGGCUACGGCUCAACCGUAGUAAGCCUUUGAAACUGGGAAACUUGAGUGCAGGAGAGGAGAGUGGAAUUCCUAGUGUAGCGGUGAAAUGCGUAGAUAUUAGGAGGAAUACCAGUUGCGAAGGCGGCUCUCUGGACUGUAACUGACACUGAGGCACGAAAGCGUGGGGAGCAAACAGGAUUAGAUACCCUGGUAGUCCACGCCGUAAACGAUGAGUACUAGCUGUCGGAGGUUACCCCCUUCGGUGGCGCAGCUAACGCAUUAAGUACUCCGCCUGGGAAGUACGCUCGCAAGAGUGAAACUCAAAGGAAUUGACGG
rnacentral:rRNA from 1 species